GAUGAACGCUGGCGGCGUGCCUAAUACAUGCAAGUCGAGCGAACAGAUGAGGAGCUUGCUCCUCUGACGUUAGCGGCGGACGGGUGAGUAACACGUGGAUAACCUACCUAUAAGACUGGGAUAACUUCGGGAAACCGGAGCUAAUACCGGAUAAUAUAUUGAACCGCAUGGUUCAAUAGUGAAAGACGGUUUUGCUGUCACUUAUAGAUGGAUCCGCGCCGCAUUAGCUAGUUGGUAAGGUAACGGCUUACCAAGGCAACGAUGCGUAGCCGACCUGAGAGGGUGGUCGGGCAGAGAGGAACAGAGACACGGUCUGGACUCCUACGGGAGGCAGCAGUAGGGAGUCUUCAGUAAUGGGCGAAAGCCUGAAGGAGUAACGGAGCGAGAGAGAUGAAGGUCUUCGGAUCGUAAAACGCUGUUAUUGGAGAAGAACAAAUGUGUAAGUAACUAUGCGCGUCUUGACGGUACCUAAUCAGAAAGCCACGGCUAACUACGU
rnacentral:rRNA from 1 species